CCUACGGGUGGCAGCAGUGGGGAAUAUUGCACAAUGGGGGAAACCCUGAUGCAGCAACGCCGCGUGAGUGAAGAAGUAUUUCGGUAUGUAAAGCUCUAUCAGCAGGGAAGAAGAUGACGGUACCUGAAUAAGAAGCCCCGGCUAACUACGUGCCAGCAGCCGCGGUAAUACGUAGGGGGCAAGCGUUAUCCGGAUUUACUGGGUGUAAAGGGAGCGCAGACGGCUGUGCAAGUCAGGAGUGAAAGCCCGGGGCCCAACCCCGGAACUGCUCUGGAAACUGUGCGGCUAGAGUGCUGGAGGGGCAGGCGGAAUGCCUAGUGUAGCGGUGAAAUGCGUAGAUAUUAGGAGGAACACCAGGGGCGAAGGCGGCCGACUGGACUGUAACUGACGUUGAGGCUCGAAAGCGUGGGGAGCAAACAGGAUUAGAUACCCCGGUAGUC
rnacentral:rRNA from 1 species